ensembl:lncRNA
UGGAAAUAGAAAUUGAAUGUAGUUCAGUGGCUGACAGCUGUCCUUAAUUAGCCAACGACAUUAGAAGGGUCUGGGAUUCCUUUAAAAGGAGCAACCAAAUAUCUGGCAAAUAUAGUAAAAGGGAUAUUCUGGUAGGACGUAUGCCUACCAUUAGUUCUGAAUACUGGUGAGGUUUUGAGGGAAAAAUGGCCGUGAUGAUUGGAAUCGCUUUCAGCGUUUCUUGGCUUUGUUGCCUGCUAAUUGGAGGGAUAACGUGUUCUACAUCAGAAGGUGAUUGGUCUCCUGCACUGGAUUCUAAUGCAGCAUGGCUCUAUGCAGGAUCACUUCGGUCUCUAGGAUAUGGCAAUUAUAAAUCUCAAAUGCAAGCGCAGCAGAAACAUCCGGCCGCCAUCCUGCGGAAAGAACUGGCCCCCAUGUCCCGGCAACCUCAGCAAGUGUGGUAUCCAGGUCAAAUGCCCCUGCAUCAGAAGCAACGUGCCGCAGAAGCUCAGCAGCAGAGGCAAGCGACAACUGUGCCCCAGCAAGUGUGGCAUCAAGCUCACAUGCUGACAGAACCACCGACCGCCGUGCCCCAGCAAGUGUGGCAUCCUAAUCAAAUGCUGCAGAAGCAAUCACCCGCCUCGCCUCAGCAAGUGUGGCAUCCUGCUCAAAAGCCCCUGCAGCAGAAGCUACCGACCGCCGUGCCCCAGCAAGUGUGGCAUCCAGCUCAAAUGCAGCAGAAGCAACCGACCGCCGUGCCCCAGCAAGUGUGGCAUCCAGCUCAAAUGUCCAAGAAUCGAACAGCCACUGAACCUCAGCAGAAGCAACCAUCCACCACGCCCCAGCAAGCGUGGCAUCCAGCUCAAAAUCCCCUGCAGCAGAAGCAACCGGCCACUGAACCUCAACAGAAGGAGCUGACCGCCAUGCCACAGAAGCUACAGGCCUCCAUUCUCCAGCAGCCUCCGCUUGUGUGGCAUCCAUCUCAAUUUCCCCAGCAGAAGGAACUGGCAGUCGAGCCUCAGCAAGUGAGGUAUCCAGCUCAAAUGGCCCAGCAGCUACCCAACCCCAUUCAUCAGCAAUUAUGGCAUGUAGCCCAAAUUUCCCAGCAGCAACUGGCCCCAUUGUCUCAACAGAAGCACUACGAAAGCACUGAAGAUGCCUCUGGUAGUUCUCAGGCCAGCAUUGAACAGUCAGGUGUCAUCCCCAUCUCUUCCUACAGUUCCAAAUCGCACUACAAGAAUGGCAGAACUGUCUUCUCCCAAAUCAGCUACACUCCUAGGGAGGCAAUGCCUGUUGACAGUGGAAAUGCUCCCAAGGACGGUUAUGUUAGCAUUGGUGCACCAAGCAUAUAUCCAACACUAGUGAAGGAUUCUGCAAGAAAAAUAUAAUGGAUUCAUCCUCUAGAAGCUCUAAUGACCAGGAAGUUGCUGGUGCUCUUGCUACUCUAGUGUGACGGAAUCAAUAAACAACUUACUUUAAAAAAUGCCUUGUCUCU